rnacentral:lncRNA from 1 species
AGCGGACCGGCAGCCGAAGGGAAAUGUGAAGUGUGUGGGCCCUGCAGGAGGCGGUGGUGGCAAACAGAGAGAAGGCCGGAAGAGGUGGAGCAAGGCCAGAGCCGGCCUCUGGGGGCGUGUCCCGCGGACGCCACGCCCCGCCCCGAGGACGUCCUCCCUGUCAGGCUGGCUGGCAGCUCGCCUGCUGUUUUGUACCUGAGCAGAUUCAGCUCUCUGCUGUCCGAGCUGAGGCGAAAGUCCGGUGCCUUAAGCGUGGAGAGCGGUGGUGGCCAGAGGCUUGGCGAGUUCCCCUUCAGGUGUGCCUCGGCGAGCGGCCUGUAAGUAACAGCCUCUGUCAUCUGCUUACGUGCAAGGCGGCAUGAAGGCAGCAGUGUCCUGUCCGACAGAGGGCGUUGGGGACCCCUGUGACCCAACCCUGCUGGCCAUCAGCGCCUCACCUGAAAGGGACUGAGGAUGAGGCUGAUGGUAGGCAGCCGCUGUUAUACCCCUGACUCCGCUCCUGAGAGACUUGGAAGUCGCGGCUGAUGGCAGCCAGACACUGAUGCCCCCGCCGGCUCCUCACUUGAGGGGACUGAAGGUCGGGUCUGAGGAGGCUACAACCUCGCUGGUUCCGGGCCCCAGAACCUCAACUUUGCAAAAAACCAGCCCCUAGGCAAAGCCUGCUUAGCUCCAACCCGCUGCUUUCAGCACCAGGAACAUAAACACUCAACAGACUCAGAUACUGUUGACUUCCUAGUCUCUGUCCCUGCCAUUGGACUUGUCAGCUAAUUGCUGCUAGAAGUCAUCGUGUGUCUCCUAAAGUAAUGUUUUCUUAACUAUAGAUAAGAUUGUCAUGUGAUUUCAUUGGAUCACAUCUCUCCUAGGACACGGGUAAAGCAGAUACUUAUCUAUCUGAUCAAGACCGGAGGUCGAGAUAAGUUACCCGGAAUCUCUCAGAGUUGGGGCCCAGUCUCAAUUCUUGAACUCCUUGAACGCUUAGCGUUUGUCCUGCCUCAGGAGCUCUCUGUUGUGUGGUAUUCCCAUCUCCUCUCCUUUGAUCUUUCAUUUGUGAUCAUCUCAUGUGCAGCCAAUCAGGCAUACCCUACUAGAGAACUGUUAAACUUGAAAUGUCUUCUGUUAAUUAUCUUUGAAUCCAAUCCUGAUUAUUAGAUACUUCAUUGUAUUCAGUCCUGCACAUUUAUCUAUAGUAACAGAAACAAGGAGAUUCUCGUUAUUGGUUCCAAGACUACAGAUGGGUAGAAAAUAAAGUCCUUUUUUUUAACC